CUGACCUAAAUGGUAAAGAACAGCAUUAGCAGUUCCAUCAUUGGGAUGCUCAGAGUUGUCUAACCAGUCACAGAAUACAUAACUAAAUGAAAAAUAGACAGGAGUUGUGAUUAGUAAUGAAUGAAGGUAUUGAGGAGGCCAGCUGAACUCUCAUCUCUACUUGCUAUAGGCUGAUUGUCCUAUUAUUAUUGAAGCCCUAACCACUAAUGUGAUGGUAUUUAGAAGUGAGGCCUUUGCCAAAUUAUCAGGUCACAUUGGCAGAUCCUCAUGAAUGAGAUUAGUGCCCUUAUAAGAAGAGACACAGACAGAUAACCUGUCUCUCUACCACGUGAAGAAAUGACAAGAAGAUAUCUUUCUACGAACCAGGAAGAGGGGCUUCAAUGGAAACCAAUCAGCCAACACCUUGACUUUGGACUUUCCAGUCCCCAGAAUGCUGAGAAAUUUCUGUUCUUUAAGCUCCAUAAGCCCAUGACAUUUUUUUAGACCAUGUGAAGCCAUGCUGAUCUUUGUCUGAGCUGCAGUCCUCCUGCAGGUAUGCUUGGUGUCCCAAUUAAACAGCUCCUAAACCGUU